UUUAUGGAGAGUUUGAUCCUGGCUCAGGAUGAACGCUGGCGGCGUGCCUAAUACAUGCAAGUCGAGCGAACGGACGAGAAGCUUGCUUCUCUGAUGUUAGCGGCGGACGGGUGAGUAACACGUGGAUAACCUACCUAUAAGACUGGGAUAACUUCGGGAAACCGGAGCUAAUACCGGAUAAUAUUUUGAACCGCAUGGUUCAAAAGUGAAAGACGGUCUUGCUGUCACUUAUAGAUGGAUCCGCGCUGCAUUAGCUAGUUGGUAAGGUAACGGCUUACCAAGGCAACGAUGCAUAGCCGACCUGAGAGGGUGAUCGGCCACACUGGAACUGAGACACGGUCCAGACUCCUACGGGAGGCAGCAGUAGGGAAUCUUCCGCAAUGGGCGAAAGCCUGACGGAGCAACGCCGCGUGAGUGAUGAAGGUCUUCGGAUCGUAAAACU
rnacentral:rRNA from 1 species